rnacentral:rRNA from 1 species
UACGUAGGGUGCAAGCGUUGUCCGGAAUUAUUGGGCGUAAAGGGCUCGUAGGCGGUCCAUCGCGUCGGGAGUGAAAAGUUGGGGCUCAACCCCAGUCCUGCUUCCGAUACGGGUGGACUAGAGGUAGGCAGGGGAGAACGGAAUUCCUGGUGUAGCGGUGAAAUGCGCAGAUAUCAGGAGGAACACCGGUGGCGAAGGCGGUUCUCUGGGCCUUACCUGACGCUGAGGCGCGAAAGCUAGGGGAGCAAA